CCAAUUCUCUAGCAGAAAUCAACAAUCCAAUCUCAAAUUCAGACAUGGUUUUGCAACUCCUUGCUGGUUUACCAACCCAAUACUCACCCUUCAAAAACACAAUAUCAUCAAUGUGUCCUCUCCCCGAUUUUGAACAAGCUUCUUCCAUGUUAUAUAUGCAACAUGACUUAUUAUCAUUACAGGAUCGUGAGGAGGAGAAAUUGAAAGCUGAAGCUGGUGCAGAGAAAUCGUCUGGUUUUUGUACAGCUGAUACGUUUCAUACUGUAAUUGAUACAUUGAGUAUUGCUGUUGCUGCUGUUGGUGCAGUGGGUACUGUCUGUGCUGCAGCUAGUACAUUGGGUACUGUUGUUGGUGCAGUUGGUACUGUGACUGCAUCCAGGGUGAUUGUUGUUGGUGCAAUUACUGCUGUUGCUGGCUGGAAAAUUUGGCAAACGGUACCUCGCAAGUAAUUUAUCGAGUUGAUUUCUCGUAUAAUCACUUAAAUAAAUAGUAGUAGUCGAAUGUUUUACGUGAUUUGAAGUGGAAGUUCAACACAAAUUUUGCUUGUGUUUUUCAAUAUUUUGAUUUUCCUUUGGAUGUGUGUAUGG
rnacentral:misc_RNA from 1 species